CUUAAAGGGCUGGGCGAGGGGUUCCCUCCAGGGCGUCCCCAAAGGCAGGGCCUAGCCCCCGUGUGCCCAGGCUAAGAGUACAACCUCCAUUCAUGCGAGGCUGUGGGUCCCAUGGCUCUAGGCCUCUCCGACCACAUCUGUUAGGUGAGAUGGGUAACCUCGCCAGUAGGCAAAACGGCGCCUGCAGGGACACACGAUACCUCUCACUCCACACACACCCCGCCCCCGAGCUGCGCAUUCACUGAUGGGGAUGCGCCCUAGGAGAUAAGUUCCUUCCCAGGGUUCCGAGGUGGGGGUGUGGAGGAAUGCGAACCCAGGCUGUCCGGGACCGAGGCCGGAGAGUGUGGGGAGCAGGGGCUGCUUCUACCCGCGGAGGCCACCGGGCCCCACCGCCCAGUAGGAGUGCAGACAGCAGUCACCCGUGACGGUGCUCAAGCAGAGGCCAGCGCGUUCUGACAGCCGCCCACAGGUGGGAGUGUGGGGAGGCCUCCCCACGGAAGGCCCCAGGGAAGGUGAGGCGAGGUGCAAGAGCGCGUCUAACAAAAGGACCAGAGCCUCGUGACGCGAGGGCGAGCUCAGUGCGGGAGAGCAGCAGAGCACUGAGGAGCUCUUGCUGUGCGAGAACCAGGCUGUCAUCCCUACAGAAGAAGAAAUAGCUACAGUCCAGGGUGGUGCUGGGCACCCCUUAUCCUGCUGAUGGACAGCAUCCCAGUUUUGGGACCCUGUACAGCAAGCUAUGAUAGACAUCUCGUGUAGGCUCCUGGCGGCCCUGGGGGUGGACUGCUGAGUCACAAGGAAGGCCAUAGACCCAAGCACCAUGAAGAAAACCGCAAGAUUUUUAGAAGACAACAGAGCAGAUUACCUUUGCGACAGUGAACUAGAGAAGAUUUCUUCGAUGAAAUGUCAAAAAUAAGUAAAUAAAGGAAA